ensembl:lncRNA
UUUUCUCCAAGUUGGGAUACAGAUAAACGGCAGUGAAGAGGAGGGUAGAGACCUCAGUGGGGUUCGAAUUGAGCAACCUGAAAGGAAGUUCUUCCAGGGUGUGACUGUAAGUACAGCAGUUGAGGUGGAACCCAAUCAUACUCUGACACUCAUGCUGAAGAGUCCCAACCAAAACUGCAACCAGAGUAAAGAUAUUCAAGCCUAUGAGCUAAGAGGAGCUUCAUUUUGCUUGCUCUGGCUAUCCCAUGACACCGGUGCUGUGGCCAUGACUGCUCAGAUGUCCACAGUAGCCCACUACCAGAGUAACUAUCGCCCCACCUUCUGUAUAGCCACUGUCUCUGAUCCCUACAUAGUGGCCCUGACCCAUGACAGCCGUGGGGUGCGUUUCAUGGAGACCGGUGUGGUGAAGUUUGUACUCCAACAGGCCAUCUAUUCAAUGGGCCAUUCUUGCGUUCGAGAAGGUUUCUCGCUGAUUGCUUACAUUAACAAAAAUGGCACUAACCAGGAGGUGCUACGCUCCUUUAAGUCUGGCGUUAACUACAAAGACACCUCCAUCACCCUUUCUGGGGCCACAAGGGUAGACAGCAAAGAUUGGCUCUAUUUUGAAAUUAUCGCCCCUUCUCAGUCCAAUGUCCGCUACUUUGGUGAUAGUUCUGGAAUUAGUAUGCUCAGCUUGAUCUGGAUCCCUACUGCUGUCUCCUCCAUGUUCACAGCCACUGUCUUAAGAACAGGUCUACCCUCUGGGGCAGUAAGAAAUAAACCUCUGCUCUUUAGGCAGAUGAGCCCGAAUACAGGCCAAAUGCGACUAGCUGGGUCAGGUGAGCCGCAUGCUCAGAGAAACUUUGUGUUUUCUGAGCCCGGAACGAUCAGUGUGGCCCUCAAACUAAAACUGAUCCACUCCUGCAGUGUGGUGAAGCUGACCCUUUACCAGCAAGGUACAAAUGGAGGUCAGGCCACAUCGUUGGCCCAGCAGGUGGGUGGGCAUAUGCCUGAAGGUAGUGAGUGGGCCAGUGUGGGGUUGAGAACUUCUUUCGAAGUGCAAAAUGGUACUGCCAUUUAUGUUUCUCUGGACUGCGUUCGUGGCCGGAUCAACUAGAUCAACCAUGAGGGAGGCACCAGCAUCUCCAUUCUUUGGUUGGCAUCAUGAUCCCAAGUAUGCAAUCUUAGAUCUAAAGGCCUUUCCACAUGAUGUGCGAUGCGAAAAAGUGAGGCAAAUCGCAGAUGAAUGGUGCUUUCACACCGAAAGCAAAACGAUUGUUCGCUUUCUGCUAAUUCACGCCUGCACGCUAGGUGGUGCCGA